AUUACAUAGUGGAUGACAGCUCUUGAGCCCCGUGCUUAGGAGAGGAAAGUCCGGACUUUCUCCCGAUUUAAUCGGGAAAAAAGGUAGUGGGUAACACCCGUCGGUCGUGAGACUUGAGAUGCGAGCAGUGACGUGCUAGACCGAAAGGUCGAGCAACCCGAUUUAUCGGGAUAAUCCUGUAGUAAUACAGGGGUGAAACGGCUAAAUUCUUACCUGAGAGAAAGAGCAGCCCUUCGACUCACUUCGUUCGCUCAGAGCAAGCCAUCAAGCUUGUUUUGAGUGAAUGAAGCAGAGUUGAUUGGAAAAGUUAGCUCGUUUGAGCUAGAUAGUAAUAUCUAGCCUAGAGAAAUUGUCGUCAUCCCGACUUAGUCGGGAUACAAAAUUCGGCUUAUAGCUAUGUGAUAAGU
rnacentral:RNase_P_RNA from 1 species